GCCAGGCAUGGUGAUACAUGCCUGUAAUCCCAUCAUCUCGGGAGGCUGAGGCAGGAGGAUAGCAAGUUCAAAGCCGGCCUCGGCAACAGUGAGGCGCUAAGCAACUCAGUGAGACCCUGUCUCGA
rnacentral:sRNA from 1 species